rnacentral:misc_RNA from 1 species
UACAGAGGGUGCAAGCGUUAAUCGGAAUUACUGGGCGUAAAGCGCGCGUAGGCGGCUUGACAAGUCGAGUGUGAAAUCCCCGGGCUUAACCUGGGACCUGUAUUCGAAACUGUCUUGCUAGAGUAUGGGAGAGGGAAGUGGAAUUUCAGGUGUAGCGGUGAAAUGCGUAGAUAUCUGAAGGAACAUCAGUGGCGAAAGCGACUUCCUGGACCAAUACUGACGCUCAGGUGCGAAAGCGUGGGGAGCAAACAGG